CGCAUCUGUGCAUGCAGCAUAUCAAUAAGCGGAGGAAAAGAAACUAACAAGGAUUCCCCUAGUAACGGCGAGUGAAGCGGGAAGAGCUCAAAUUUGAAAUCUUAAAGGGUUUCCCUUUACGAAUUGUAGUUUAAAGAAGUGUUCUCUGUUGAGGUUUUGGUAAAAGUUCUUUGGAAUAGGACAUCAUAGAGGGUGAGAAUCCCGUAUUUGACCUUUACUUUCAACUUUGUGAUACACUUUCAAAGAGUCGGAUUGUUUGGGAAUGCAGUCCAAAAUGGGUGGUAAAUUUCAUCUAAAGCUAAAUAUUGGCGAGAGACCGAUAGCGAACAAGUACCGUGAGGGAAAGAUGAAAAGAACUUUGAAAAGAGAGUUAAACAGUACGUGAAAUUGUCAAAAGGGAAGCGUUUGACACCAGUGUUGUUUUUCUGAAAAUCAAUUAAAGAACUGUUUAUGCUAAGUUGUUUAGACUUUAUCAGCUAACUGUUUAGUUUUGAGCUUCUCUUUAAUGCACUUUUCAGUUAACAAGUCAACAUCAAUUUCUUUUGCUGUAAAAAAGCUUGAGGAAGGUGGCUUGAGAUUCGUCUUAAGUGUUUAUAGCCUCUUGCCUAUGCAGUCGGAGAGAUUGAGGUCUGCAGCGUAGAUCCUUCGGGGCUAAAUGCAUUUGUGCUAAGUUAUAGCAUUUUAUAGACAACUUGUUGACUAUGAUUUGUCUUGUAGCUUACUCGCUUAUGUUAUUUUACCUACGCUUAGGAUGUUGAACGCGCACAGAGUCUC
rnacentral:rRNA from 1 species